CAGCAACCACGUGUUGCUGCUUGUUUUUCUUACCCCCAAACCAAAUGACCGCGCACAAGCUCUUGUCACAUACAUAAGCUUUUGUUCCGGAAGGGCAGUAGCUGUACAGGGCGGAGAAAGUGUCCUCCGUCGGACAGCUGGCACAGAUGCUUGGAUCGUUUAGUUUAGCUGAAAUAUUAAUCGAAUUGUGUUGUUCCGACGACAGAGAAUCAUACAUUGUUAUCCUUCCCUGCAGAUCAUCCACGGCAGUCUACGACGGCCACGGAUGACAGACGACGGGAAAACGCUACUAGAAGGCCGCUCUGGGUCUUACUGGAAUCAGGGCUUGUUUGGCGUGUGGAAUUGAACCAAACGUUGGGAUCCUACUAGUGAACCGGAAAAGUGAAAGUUUACUUGUGCGUACGAUAGGACAUUGCCGAUGCAUCCAGUAUAGUAAACAAAGACGUAGUCCCACGUCAAAAAAAAAAUUACAUACGUAGAAACCGAACAAAUACGUUUAUCUAACCGUCGAGGCAAACCAUCACUUUUCCGAAAAGUUUCGACCAUAUCAUCUAACGACCAAAAAGAGGUGCGCCCUGAAGACCUUUUCAAGAUAAAAACGAAUAACUUUUUAAGCAUGCGCAAAACUCUUGUUUGGUGUACUGUUCAGCAACCGCCUGGAGCGUCCUUUCGACAAAGCGAAGCAGAUAAACUGGCUGGAUAAAUGAUAAUCAUUCUUUAUUGCGAAAGUUUCUUAUGGAACGUAUGUUUCAAUCAAACAACGUUCAAUUGUCCUAAUUGUCUAGAAUGUCUCACUUUAUGACACAACACACAAGUGCAAGUCAGUCUUUUUACCCUAGUAUGGCAUUCGGAAGAACAAGCUCAAGGCACUGCUGAGAAGGAGAAGACUCUUGCUCUCAUUGUAAGCUUCAUUUCACAAGGAAACAAAUUGCAGUAAACCCUUGGCUUAAAAAGGAGGCUGCCCGCCAAUAGCGAAGGUAUCUCCUAUUCCAAUCAAGUGAUUAUUUAUUCAAUUACCGACUUGAUUACUAUAAUGAGUCGUAAUCGAGUUUUAAUUAAUGUAGUAAUUAAUAAAUGAGUUUGAUUUCUCUAUUAACAACCAGAUCAUUCCAGGCAACCCGACAGACAUGCCUCAAUGGACUAUAAUUAACCAAUUCUAUUCCAGCUUUCAAAUCAAGAAUGGUUUUAUGCAAACCAUUUCAAUACAUGCAUGUUGAAAUGGUUCGCGAUUGUAGUGAUUAAUUGUACUUAAAGAAAAAAUUUCAUUCCCUCUCUUCUCCAGUGACGAGUACCAGCAGCGAUGCACGUACUGUCCCACCGACAACAGUCCGACCGCUUGUCCACCGGAUUGCUUCUGCAAACGGCCACCAGAUGACAGACCGGAGAGGUUGUAAAUUGUGUGUAUGUGCGUUAAAGAAGCACAAGUAGGCCAAGGUUUUUGAUGCGUGCAAAACUAGCUAAGUGUUAAGCAUAUUAAUCAUUCUAAUUGGUGUAAUUGAAACGUAACCUUAACACAAAACAAUUAAAGUAGAAUUACGAAUCAACAGCAAUUUCACCACGAGCCAAAGAAAAAAUACGCUCUUACUGUUAAGAUAUAAAAUUUACACUACUCCGAUUAUGCUAAAGAAACUAACUUUACCAUUGAUACCAUUAGUCAAUCAUAAAUGUUCGCUUAUCCAGCUUCAAUGUGUAAUGAGUUACAGUAGCAUGCUUCAAUACAAUACGUAUGAUAUUUAAACCGAAAAAUAAAUGAGUUAACAUCAAA